ncrna:Thermobifida fusca YX Actino-pnp RNA
GCCGGUCUUCGGUAGUGGUUCUCCGACACGCCCGCACCAGGGGUCUCGGGGAACUUCGAUCGAUGGCCGGC